rnacentral:misc_RNA from 1 species
UUGAAUUUUUGGGGGUUGUAGCUGACUCUUUCAGAGUAUGUGCUCGCCUUCAACUCUUCUCUUUACCACCUGUGCACCUUUGUAGUCUCUUGAUACCUCUCAAAGAGUUUAUUCUCUUUGGAUUGAUGGACUUGCCUUCAUUGGCUUGUCUUCAAUUUCAUGAGACUAUGUCUUACAAACUCUAUACAAAACCAGAAUGUCUUUUGUAGUGUCUUUAUAUGACCUAUAAACUUAUA